GCCUUGACGUUCACGGCAGCGACGACGACUGCCUUGUUCACAACAGCGACGACGGUUGCGGCUGCCUUAUUCAUGGCAGCGAGGGCGACUUCGUUCUUCUAUUUUUUGUUCUGUUUUUUACUUUCCAAUUUGGUCGGGUCUUGCAAUGAAGUUUGACAACACUUAAUGAGGUUUGGUAUAAAAGCCCCAACUUCGUUCAAAUUAAUUAAAGCCCAAAAAAACCUAAGUCUCAAAAUCAAAAAAUUCUCCAAGCAAUAAAUAGCAGU
rnacentral:lncRNA from 1 species